rnacentral:rRNA from 1 species
CCUACGGGAGGCAGCAGUGGGGAAUAUUGCACAAUGGGGGAAACCCUGAUGCAGCGACGCCGCGUGAGUGAAGAAGUAAUUCGUUAUGUAAAGCUCUAUCAGCAGGGAAGAAAAUGACGGUACCUGAGUAAGAAGCCCCGGCUAACUACGUGCCAGCAGCCGCGGUAAUACGUAGGGGGCACGCGUUAUCCGGAUUUACUGGGUGGAAAGGGAGCGUAGACGGCAGUGCAAGUCUGGAGUGAAAGGCGGGGGUUCAACCCCCGGACUGCUCUGGAAACUGUACGGCUGGAGUGCCGGCGAGGUAAGGUGAAGUCCUAGGUGAGCGGGGGAAUGCGGUGAUAUUAGGGGGAACACCAGGGGGGAAGGCGGCUUACUGGACUGUAACUGACGUUGAGGCUCGAAAGCGUGGGGAGCAAACAGGAUUAGAUACCCGAGUAGUC